GAUGAACGCUGGCGGCGUGCCUAAUACAUGCAAGUCGAGCGAAUGGAUUAAGAGCUUGCUCUCAUGAAGUUAGCGGCGGACGGGUGAGUAACACGUGGGUAACCUGCCCAUAAGACUGGGAUAACUCCGGGAAACCGGGGCUAAUACCGGAUAACAUUUUGAACCGCAUGGUUCGAAAUUGAAAGGCGGCUUCGGCUGUCACUUAUGGAUGGACCCGCGUCGCAUUAGCUAGUUGGUGAGGUAACGGCUCACCAAGGCAACGAUGCGUAGCCGACGUGAGAGGGUGAUCGGCCACACUGAGACUGAGACACGGCCCAGACUCCUACGGGAGGCAGCAGUAGGGAAUCUUCCGCAAUGGACGAAAGUCUGACGGAGCAACGCCGCGUGAGUGAUGAAGGCUUUCGGGUCGUAAAACUCUGUUGUUAGGGAAGAACAAGUGCUAGUUGAAUAAGCUGGCACCUUGACGGUACCUAACCAGAAAGCCACGGCCAACUACGUGCCAGCCGCCGCGGUAA
rnacentral:rRNA from 1 species